UACGUAGGUGGCAAGCGUUUGUCCGGAUUUAUUGGGCGUAAAGAGCGCGCAGGCGGUUCGUUAAGUCCGAGGUGAAAUCUCCCGGCUCAACUGGGAGGGGUCUUCGGAUACUGGCGGACUUGAGGAGUGCAGAGGUGAGUGGAAUUCUCGGUGUAGUGGUGAAAUGCGUAGAUAUCGAGAGGAACACCAGCGGCGAAGGCGGCUCACUGGGCACCACCUGACGCUGAGGCGCGAAAGCGUGGGGAGCGAACCGG
rnacentral:rRNA from 1 species